GAGGAAUAGGCUACAGGGGCGAAAGCUUGGAUUAGAAACAAGAACUAGUUGAUUUGGGUGAGAAUUGAGAAAGCUUUGGGAUUUUUGGUGUGUGUGAGUUUGAGAGAGUUUGAGAGUUUGUGAGAGGAGGGGAGAGUGAUAGAGAUGGAGUCGCGGGGGUUGGGGGUAGGUUUAGGGUCGUCCGGUUCGGUCUAGGGUGGUUAGGAUCGGUUUACUUGAAUUAAACCGGGGUUUAGAGUUAGAAAACUUACCUGGACCGGUUCGGGAGCGACGUGAGGGUGUCGCUGCGAGAUGUCGCUCCC
rnacentral:lncRNA from 1 species